rnacentral:rRNA from 1 species
CAGCCGCCGCGGUAACACAGAGGGUGCGAGCGUUAAUCGGAUUUACUGGGCGUAAAGCGUGCGUAGGCGGCUUUUUAAGUCGGAUGUGAAAUCCCUGAGCUUAACUUAGGAAUUGCAUUCGAUACUGGGAAGCUAGAGUAUGGGAGAGGAUGGUAGAAUUCCAGGUGUAGCGGUGAAAUGCGUACAGAUCUGGAGGAAUACCGAUGGCGAAGGCAGCCAUCUGGCCUAAUACUGACGCUGAGGUACGAAAGCAUGGGGAGCAAACAGGAUUAGAUACCCCCGUAGUCCCUGUCUCUUAUAC